rnacentral:rRNA from 1 species
GACGAAGGAUGCAAGCGUUAUCCGGAUUCAUUGGGUUUAAAGGGAGCGUAGGUGGUCUUAUAAGUCAGUGGUGAAAUCUCUGGGCUUAACCCAGAAAUUGCCAUUGAUACCGUAGGACUUGAGUAUAGUUGCCGUUGGCGGAAUAUGACAUGUAGUGGUGAAAUACAUAGAGAUGUCAUAGAACACCGAUUGCGAAGGCAGCUAACGAAACUAUAACUGACACUGAGGCUCGAAAGUGCGGGGAUCAAACAGG